rnacentral:rRNA from 1 species
GAUGAACGCUGGCGGCGUGCCUAAUACAUGCAAGUCGAGCGAACAGACGUGGUUCUUGCUCCUGACACGUUAGCAACGCGCAAGUAAGUAACCCUUGGAGGACCUCCCUAUCAGACUGGGGUAACUUCUACACCCCGGACCUAGUACCGGAUGAUAUAUUCCACCUCAUGGUUCGAUCGUGACUGAUUAGCUUGCUGUCACUUCUAGAUCUAACCGCGCCGCAUUAGCGAGUCGGUAAGGUAACGACUUACCAAGGCAACGAUACGUAGCCGACCUGGGAGGUGGAUCGGCCACGCUGGAACUGAGACACGGUCCAGACUCCGACGGGAGGCAGGAGUAGGGAAUCUUCGGAAAUGGGCGAAAGCCUGACGGAGCAACGCCGCGUGAGUGAUGAAGGUAUUCGGAUCUUAAGACUGUGUUAUUAGGGAAGAAGAAAUGCGUAAGUAACUGUGCAAGUCUUGACGGUACCUAAUCAGAAAGCCACGGCUAACUACGUG